rnacentral:rRNA from 1 species
GACGUAGGAGGCGAGCGUUAUCCGGAUUUAUUGGGCGUAAAGGGCAAGUAGGCGGUUGUCAAAGUUGGGCGUGACAACUCCCGGCUCAACUGGGAGGGUGCGUUCAAAACUAGGCAACUAGAGGGCAGGAGAGGGAAGUGGAAUUCCCAGUGUAGCGGUGGAAUGCUCAGAUAUUGGGAAGAACACCAGUGGCGAAGGCGGCUUCCUGGCCUGCACCUGACGCUGAGAGGCGAAAGCUAGGGUAGCAAACGGGCUUAGAUACCCCGGUAGUCCUAGCCGUAAACGUUGGAUACUAGGUAUUGGGGGAGGAGAGUCUCUCAGUGCCGAAGCAAACGCGAUAAGUAUCCCGCCUGGGGACUACGGCCGCAAGGUUAAAACUCAAAGGAAUUGACGGGGGCCCGCACAAGCAGCGGAGCGUGUGGUUUAAUUCGAUGCAACGCGAAGAACCUUACCUGGGCUUGACAUGCAGGUAGUAGGGAACUGAAAGGGGACCGACCCUUCGGGGAGCCUGCACAGGUGCUGCAUGGCU